AUACUACUCCCUCCGUCCUAAAAUAAGUGACUCAAAAAUGACUCAACUUUAUACUAAUGUUAGUACAAAGUUGAGUAAGUUUUGAGUCACUUAUUUUGGGACGGAGGGAGUAGUAU
rfam:Triticum aestivum genome assembly, contig: Triticum_aestivum_CS42_TGACv1_scaffold_130411_2BL